rnacentral:lncRNA from 1 species
ACAGAGAAGCUGAAAAUUAAGUAAACAUUGAUAAGUCUAAGCAGAUUGAAUGACAAGGAAAAAAAACUAAUGAUGGAGAUUGAAGGAAAAUAUUACUUACACAAUGCGCUGAGGAUUCCAGAGGAUAGAAUAGGUGUGAAAGUCAGCAGCGGGGUCAAACCAGAGGUGAAAUUGUUGCUCUCUGUCACCUUUGCCAUUUGUAAAGACAUUGGUAUGAAGAGUGUAAGGGUCACCACUUAAAUUUCCCAAGAAUUCAAAGUCUAUCUCAUCCCAUGUUGAUCCCGGUGAUUUUAGCUGCAUUAAAAAAAAAAAAAAACAGAUAUUUAUAUGUAUCAUCACAUAUGAUUAUUCAACUACGACCCAGUUUGCAUGCAUAAUACUUGCGUAUGAUUAAGUUGUAUUAAAAGAAGGAACUUACGUAAUAAGCAGUGACAGUGCCAGCAGAGUUGCCUGGGACAAGCUUGAGCUGCAUGUCAAUCUUGCCGUAUAGAUACUCAUUCUUGGACUGGAAUCCUGAGCCAGAAGCUUUAUCGAGGGAAAGAGUAAGAAGGUCGCCAUUGUUGAGCAUCUUGGCACGGCCAUCUCCCCAGGUGAUGUCAAAAUCUUUGUAGAAGUUACCAGCAGAUGCAACCAUCAAAGAGCCAAGCACAAGAAACAAAUGCAACGUUGAAGCCAUUGACAUAUGCUUGAGCAAACGAGGUACAAGUAGUGUUUGAAUUAACUGAGAGAAGUUUGUAAUUCGAAAGUGGAGCGAUGAAUGUGUUUAAGACCAUUGUGUUGUAUUUAUAGCCGGUGAAGAUGGGAAAUGUAAAAUGCAGAGGAAAGUGAAGGGAAAGGUCCAGUGAGCUCGGCUGUGGACAGUUGUUGGCUUGAAAAAAGUAUAAUAAAAUAGCUGUGCAUAUCGCACUAACAAGCAUUAUCCGACCAGCCAUAUUUUAUUAUAGCACGCGGUUUUUGCAUUAUUUUUGGGACCAAACGACUUCCGUUUAGUUUAGUAUGUGCCGCUGUCGUGGUCCCACUACCAGCUGACUCUUAUUAGAUUUUCCCACCGCCACUACUAAAGACAGUUGAAUUCACAUGAUGCGACCCUCUCUUCAGAUUUUCAGCUUUUUUUAUUAAUUGAUUCUCAAGGCAAGAGCAAAUGAAUAAUAUUAUAAUAAUACUAAGAAUAACAUAGAACUUAUUAAGAAAUUCCAGAAUUGAAAAUUCUCCUCACUAGCAAUUCAGUGUUCACCCAAGUGACAAUUAUGUUAUAUUUAUUCUGUUUGAAUUCUUAAUUUAGUAACUCCAAAAUUAAUCUUUUAUUGUCAUGUAUAUAAUAUUUAUUUUAUUAUUAAUUAUUUGUUAUCAACCUAAUUAAUAAAUGAUACAUAAAAUGUAAUAUUAAGGAGGAGACAAACUAAAUAUCCGAAUUGGGUUGGCAAUAACCGCAUGACAUUACUCAAAUUUUAUGUUACUGGCGUUGUCUAACACGCGAGACGGUGGUGGGUUUCGCUUGCCAUUCACUUGGACCUAACUGUAUGUAAAAUGAAUGUUUGUUUUGAAAAGGGAACUAGGCGGCGCCUUGUCUUCCCUUUCUUUAUAAACAAUUAACAAAUCAAGCAAAACCGCGUCUGGAAAACUUGGUCUGCGCCAUUUUAAUGAACAGUCAUUUGCUACAUUACUUUGCCAACUAUUACCAAAACGUACUGAAGUUUCCCGUGUAUCUUCUCUCCGUUCAACUCUGCCUAAACUUAUAGGAUAAAAACACCAACUAAGCACAACCUUUUCAUCAUUUCAGAUUCUUUUACAUUUCUAAUACUAUUCACAUGCAAAACAUUCCAGUGGCUUGCUUUCUAGUUUCUUCAUAUAUUCCGUCCAUGUUGAUGGUCAGUUUUGUGAUUUUCUCUCUAAUUGUAGCUUCUUCUGCUAACUUCUACCAAGAUUUUGAUAAUACUCGGGGAGAUAGACUUUGAAUUCUUGGGCAAUUUAAGUGGUGACCCUUACACUCUGCACACCAAUGUAUUCACAAAUGGCAAAGGUGACAGAGAGCAACAAUUUCACCUCUGGUUUGACCUUACUGCCGAUUUUCAUACCUAUUCCAUCCUCUGGAAUCCUCAGCGCAUUGUGUAAGUACUGUUUUUUUCCCUGUCGUUAAUUUGCUUAGACUUAUAACUUUUUUCAUUGUAAUUUCCAGCUUCUCUGUUGAUGGCACCCCCAUAAGAGAAUUCAAGAACUCAGAAUCAAUUGGAGUGCCAUUUCUAAAGAAUCAACCAAUGAGGAUGUACUCUUCUCUACGGAAUGCUGAUGACUAGGCUACAAGAGGUGGCCUUAUCAAGACACAAUGGACACAUGCUCCUUUCGCCGCUUCUUAUAGAAACUUCAAUGCUGAUGCAUGUGUCUCGUCUAAUGGAAUAUCUUCUUGUGCUUCAAGUUCACCUUCCUCUCCAUAUAUCCAACGGCUGCUCCUGGUUCUCACAAGAGCUUGAUUCAACAAGUUAAGAAAGGCUGAAAUGGGUACAAAAGACAUACAUGAUUUACAACUACUGCACCGACGCAAAGAGAUUUCCUCAAGGCCUUCCUUUGAAAAGAAAAAAUCUCCUAAAGAAGUGAUUAAAUCAAACAGAUAAAUCAGUGUAAACUUAUUACAUUCAAUUAUAUGCUCUCUGUAGAGCUAUUCUUUGCAGUCUUGGUCAUCAAUAAAAAGACAGAUUUGUCAUUCUUUAUAUCAGAAGUGUUAUAAUACGAAUUUUAUUGGAAAGAUGCAGAUGUGAUUUAUUAUAAAUUCAAUAUACUUAAUGUAAAAAGACUUAAAAGAUUGAGCUUUACUCAUCUAAAGUUCUCACAGACCAUAUCAACGUGAUCCCUUUCUAGCAUAUUCGCAUCUUAAUUCAUAUGAUAACUGAUACAACAUCAAUACUAUUAUUAUAACUUUAUUUUGAUAUUACAACAUAAAGUUUGAGCAUGAAAUAAACUACAUUAUUUACUUUAACUGUAGAAAUCAAAAUUAGAAUAAAUUGUAUUAUCAUUGAUGUGUUUAGUUUGUCUUGAAAUCUUAGUCAUAAUAAAUUAGACUGUCAUAAAUUACUAAAAAGUUUUUAAUUAAUUAUUAUCAUAAUUAUUAUUUUAUAUUUUAAUUAAUGUAAUUAUUGUUAUUCAGAAAUUAUUAUUAUUAAUUAUUGUUAAUAAUAAUAAUAAUAUCAUUAACAUGAAUAUAUUAAUUAUAAUAUUUUUUUAUCAAUAAUAAUGAUAAUAAUACAUUUGAAAAUCAUAAUAACAAUAAUAAUAAUCAAAAUCAUCAUCAUCAACGACAACAACAAAUCAAAAUCGGAUUUGGAUCAUAAUAUCAUCGUCGUUGUCGACAUCAUCAUCGGUGAUGGUUGUUGUUGCUAGAUCGUUGUUGCUAUUGCUCCUGCUCAACGGUCAGCGACGACCAAUGACGUUGAUUUUUGCAGUAACAGUUUGGUGAAGACGAUGAAAAUCGGUGAGGCUUCAAUUUACAGCGACUGUUUGCUGUGGUUUUUUUUUCUAUUUAAAUUUUUUUAAUUGAAUGAAGGUGUUGAUGCUGAAAUCUGCUCGCCUCUUGACCGACCAGAUUCUUUCACCAACGUUUGUGUUAUCUACUGUUGCUCGUUCACUGGGAUUGGAAUCGUCCUCCUUUCUCUCAAUAGACCUGCACUCACUAAAAAUGGAUCAGAGACGCCGGUGGUUUUGCCGGCGUAAACCCUCCGAUGCCUAAGUUAGCACAAGGUGUUUACGGGAAAACAGUGUAAUUUGGAUUCCAGGAGCUUAUUAAAAAUUUGUAAGGAAAUGGCCUAGUUGCAAUUUGGCAGCGUUUUCCCUCUCUCUUUUUUUUUUUCCCCUUUCUUCACCGAUUUCUUCUUCUUUUAUAGCCGCUGUCCCCACGUUUCCGUUUGCCAUUCAUCCCACCUUUUUCGGGUAGUGGCAGCCCCUCAUGGGAUUUUAACUGCUACAUUGUGGGCAAACGUGGGAUCUCGCAUCUCCCACAACGGUUCUGGGAAAAGCGCAACUACCGCGAUUCUGUGGGAUCGUGUUUCCGCUUUUUGAGGGACGGGUACCGACUCGGUAUACGACUCUGGUCGGUAUUCGUCUCUGAUCAGCUCAUGUUACCCCCUGUUCUGCUCGUACCAUUUGGCUGAGGUGAUUCAUGCCGGGGUGGAAAUAGUAGCAUGGCCGACCUGGUGCUUUUAUUUGCUUAACACCAGUCCCCCAGUUUUUGGUCUUGUGAGUGAAAUGAGUCAAGAGUAGAAACUGAUAGUCAAAUCUUACCAAUCCAGGGGCUUCUCCUCUGAUCUUUCGUCUACCGGGAUGGACCUGAGGUAUCAUUUUUCUUCAGGGGAGAUUUUGACCUGAGCAUGGGCCUAAAUGAGUAUGUCCAUUGCGUAUCUGGGCUUGCAUCUAGCCUGGCCUCUUAUAACGAUUGGUGACGUGGCAUCUCCCGACUCUUCGUAUUUGAAAUUUGAAACGACGGGCUAUCUGUCCUUGAUGUACGGUGAGUGAGCUGGCGUCUCUAUCACUUAAAUGCUUUCAUUUCCCCUUUUUCGUUUCAAAUCCCUAGACUUAUAUCUGCAUCGCUUUGUUAUUCAUCUCUUCAUCGUUAACUAACUCCCUCUCUGAACUUUGCUUACACUUCUCGUGUCUGGAGUAUCCACUCGCUGAAUUUUUUCUCUAUCACGGUCGCGCUAUCAGUGCCAGUUCAAUCCAGGUAUUGCCUUUAACUUCUCCUCUGGUUAUUGUUGAUUGGGUUCUGUGUUGCCCUUUUUGUGUCCAUAUACUCGAGUUUUCUUUGUUUUCUUUUGAGGUUCUGAUAUGUCAAACCGAAAAAGAAAGUUAAUUGUUGAUGAGGAUGAUGAAGAAUCAGGGGAUUCAGGCCUCAACGUGUCAAUACCCACCUAUUUCUUAGGUCCCUCCAGUAAUGUAGGUCCUUCCCAUGGCAGGGAUACCCUUGAGUACCCACGCCCCUUGGUUGUCUCUUCCUUUCCCGAACUAGAGCUUGUAGGGAAUAGAGGUGGACUUGCGUCGGGAUCUGGUGAGAACCACAGCUUUGGUGGGGUUGGGAUCCGUGAAGGAGUUGGCGAUGGUGAGGGGAGCAGUUCCGGACCGAGCGGUCUUGCUAAGAAAAGGAAUAUUGGCCAUAGGGUGGAGGCUGAUUUCUACCCUAUUGAUUACAUAGCCUGUGCCACCACCCAAACUGACUUAUUCAAGCUUAGGAACCUCUACGACAUUCCUGAGGAGGUUCUUCUUGUAGUUCCUGGGAAGGGUGACGUUCCUAGUCGGCCUCCACGGGGGUAUGUGACAAUGCACCUAGAGAGUUUCAAACUAGGAGCUCGGCUGCCCCUUCAGCGUUAUUUUUCCAAAAUAUUGGGGGGUAUGCACCUGGCCCCAGAUCAGCUACACCCGAACGGGUGGAGGGUUCUCUCGGCAAUGUUUGUGUUGUGGUAGAGGUGCGGGUCGGAGGAGCCUUCCCUUGUUGAAGUGAAACAUCUGUAUCAGCUGCGGAGCAGCCCAAGGGAGGCGGGCUGGUAUUACUUCAUGUCCAGUUCCGCAAAGAGAAAGCCAAUCACUGGUUUCCCCUCCUCGUGCAAAAAUUGGAAGAACAAAUUCUUCUUUGCUGGGGGAAAGUGGUGUUCAGCACUCCGUUCGUUGGGUGGUGAUAUUUACCUUCCAACGCAGUUUGUCACCCCAGGUCGUUCAUUUUUUGCCUAUAUUCCUUCUCAAACUGUCACUUAUCGAGUUCUUUAACCUCUUUUGCUAUUUCAGAGUCGUGGGGUUUGAUCGGGGGGCUUAAAGAUUGACCUUUGCUUCAGGUGGAAACUGCUCUGUUGAACGCGUCUACCUGCCAAGACCUCCUGUCGCCAACAAACCUGGUCGGUUCGGGCCUAGUAGACAUAGCCGCUGGAAUGGAUAACAAAAUCCUUAGCGCGAUGAGCAGGAAGCGUGGUCGGGCUCCGAGUAGCUCCAACAACCUUCCCCCUCCUCCAAAGAAACCCAGCGUCUGUCUUUCCAAGGCGCCUGUUCCUGCUCUGCCCCCUCCUCCACCUCGUAAGAGUGGUGGGGAGAAAACCUACGACAAGAGUCCUGAGGUCAGCUUGCAAUCUGAGGACCGAUCUUCUCCUCUUCUAUCUCGGGAUCAAGGUGACUACCUGAGCCCAUAUCAGAAGGAUUAUAAAAAAUCGGUUGGGCCCAAGAUGGUGAAGGACAUCGAGAGCAUGAGUCUCUCCGAGUUAGCUGCUUUUAUUCAAAGAGUCUCCUUCAGGUUGUCCACAAUGGUCUCGUGCUACAAGACCGGGUCCGCGCGUCAUGAGAAGAAGCUUCAAGCUGACAAUCAGGAGUUGAAAAAGAAAGCUGAAUCUGCUGACCGCUCCAAGGAGAAACUAGCCGAGCUGAACAAGCAGAUUACAGAGCUGGAGGAGAAAGUUGCAGUUGCUGAGUCUACUGCCUCCAGGUUUGAGGGUGAGUUGGAUGGCCUGAAGUCGGACCUUCAGGUAACUCAAAGUGAAAGAGAUACUUUGAGGACCGCCCUUGAGGGAGAAAUCAAAUCCCUGAAUGAGCAGCUGGCUGAGGAGAAAGGCAAAUCCGCUGAUGUGGACGAUCGGUUGGAUGCCGAGUAUGACUCGGGGGUUGCUUUCUCCUAUAAGUGUAUCAUGUCUGUGCUUCAGGGAGAAUAUCCCGAGCUGGACAUGAGCAAGUUGGAGGCUGGAGUGCAGCGGUAUAUGGCAGAGGUCGGCCAGGCGGACAAUGAGCAGGGUGAGCAGGAUCAGGUGGAGGCUCCUUUGGAUGAGGUGCAAGAGGGGGAAGCUGGGGGACGUCCUUUCGAAGUGGGUCAAGGGUCCAUGCCUCCUCCUCCCGGCAUUGCUGAUCUCCCACCUCCUGAACUGCUGUACGGCCAAGGCGGAUGUACGGUACAGCAGUUUGUAAACAAUUGAACAUUUAUAAAUUUUUAGAUGCUCUUUAUUUGCUUUCUUGUUCGGUUUUUGCUAAUAGAUUGUUUCUGAAAAACAAUUGGAUAACUUAUCUGAUUUUGCCUGCUGGUUCCUUAGCGAACUGAGCAGGAGUAGACAUUUACUUGCCUUAGUAAAAUUUCCAUAAAACUGGUUGCUUGUCUUCAUUGACCGAGCCGAACUAGGCACUUACUUGCCUUAAUAGGAUUUUUUGUAGAAUUAGCUGCUGGUCUUUCGUUGACCGAGCAGAAGUAGGCAUUUACUUGCCUUAGUAGGAUCUUCGUAGAUUUAGCUGCUGGUCUUUCGUUGACCGAGCAGAAGUAGGCAUUUACUUGCCUUAGUAGGAUCUUCGUAGAUUUAGCUGCUGGUCUUUCGUUGACCGAGCAGAAGUAGGCACUUACUUGCCUUAGUAGAAUCUUCGUAAAUUUAGCUGCUGGUCUUUGGUUAACCGAGCAGAAGUAGGCGCUUACUUGCCUUAGUAGAAUCUUCGUAGAUUUAGCUGCUGGUCUUUCGUUGACCGAGCAGAAGUAGGCACUUACUUGCCUUAGUAGAAUCUUGGUAAAUUUAACUACUGGUCUUUCGUUGACCGAGCAGAAGUAGGCACUUACUUGUCUUAGUAAGAUUUUUUGCUUCAAGCUGACAAUCAGGAGUUGAAAAAGAAAGCUGAAUCUGCUGACCGCUCCAAGGAGAAACUAGCCGAGCUGAACAAGCAGAUUACAGAGCUGGAGGAGAAAGUUGCAGUUGCUGAGUCCACUGCCUCCAAGUUUGAGGGUGAGUUGGGUGGCCUGAAGUCGGACCUUCAGGUAACUCAAAGUGAAAGAGAUACUUUGAGGACCGCCCUUGUGGGAGAAAUCAAAUCCCUGAAUGAGCAGCUGGCUGAGGAGAAAGGCAAAUCCGCUGAUGUGGACGAUCGGUUGGAUGCCGAGUAUGACUCGGGGGUCUCCUGGUCCCGUGGCUCGUAUUACUCUAUACGGGCCUUUCCAUUUUGGGCCAAGAGCACCAUGGUUGGGAUCCCUAGUAUUUUGAUUCACCUUCCUAAGUACCCAAUCUCCUGCUCGGAACUGCCUCACGCGUACAUUCUUGUUGUAAUAACGCGUGACCCUUUGCUGACACUGGGCCACUUUCUGUGAGGCCCCUUCCAUUUUCUCCUCAAGUAGGUCCAGGCUUAAGCAGAUCUGCUCGUCAUUUUCUUCCUCAGCGAAAUAUUCCGUUCGAUGUGUCCCCACUCCAAUCUCUGCUGGGACUACUGCCUCAUGACCAAAAGAUAAAGCGAACGGGGUUUCCCCUGUAGCAGUUUUGUGAGUUGUCCGGUAAGCCCACAAUACCCCUGGUAGCUCGUCAACCCAAGCUCAUUUUUUGAUUGCCAACUUGUGGCAAGCUACCCCGCGAUCAAUUCCGGGCAUAUCUUCAUGAGACCAGGCGAAUAUAUCCGCAUGAGACUGUAGGCAAUUUAUCAGUUCGCCUUUUAUUGCCCCAACCAAUCCUGACCCGAUCUUCACUACUCUGCUCGGGUUGCUUUUGCUUACCGCAACUUCCUCCAGUUUCUCAACAGGCUCUUGGCGGCCCUUUUUAGAGUCUCCUCGAUUAUCUAGAGAGGUAACCUGCAGUGUCUCCUUGGCCGCUGUAGCAUAACAACUCCUUGCCAUCCUCUGGUCACCUUUUACUACGCCAACCACCCCAUUUACUCUGUAUUUCAGUGCCAAGUAAUGCGUGGAUACAACGCAUUGGCUUAUCCUCAUGAAUGGUCUCCCCAGUAUCAUCUGGUAAGGGCUUCUUUCCUCUACCACGACAAAAUCCAGCAUCAUUGUUCUUUCAAAUGGUUUUGUCCCUAUAGUAAUUGGGAGUUCGAUGAUCCCCAUGAGAGUUAACCGUCCCCCUCCAAAUCCCUUUAAGGAUGUAUUUGUCCGCUCAAAUUUCAAGUCUGCGAUCCCCAUAUCAUCUAGAGCCAACUUAAACAGGAUGUCAACCGAGCUGCCUGUGUCUACUAGUAUUCGUCGCAAUUCUGUACCGACCACCAUUGCCUUGAUCACCAAUGCAUCCUCAUGCGGAUAUAAGAUACCCUCUUCAUCGUCAUCUGUCCACAUAAUGGGAACUUGCCGCACUUUUGCCUUCUUGGUUGCCGGCAAAUUGAAAAGCACUUCUUUGCUAGUCAGGGCAUAUCUCCCAUAGUUCUUCCGUGCCCUGUUCGAAUCCCCGGCCAAUGUUGGCCCUCCUGCUAUUACACGGAUGGUCGGCUGUUCACAUUCCAAAUCCCUCUCAACCCCUUCAUCCCGUGUAUAUUGUGAUUCCAUGACAAGGGACAUUCCAUCUACAUACUCGUCUGUUGUAAUAACGCGUGACCCUUUGCUGACACUGGGCCACUUUCUGUGAGGCCCCUUCCAUUUUCUCCUCAAGUAGGUCCAGGCUUAAGCAGAUCUGCUCGUCAUUUUCUAUCAGCUGAACUGCUCGGUUAUCAUGAAUGUCACCUCGGGCUGACACAGUCGCUAACUGAUCUGGUCGACUAGCCAUGGAAUUAGUUGCAUGUGAUGCUCUGGGAGUGUUGUGAUAGGGGUGGGCAGCCAUCUGCCGGAAUUCUCUUUGCCGAUCCGGGAAUGGGGGACGCGGAGGUUGAGCCCGGUUGUGCUGGAACUGCUGUGAUCUCAGAGCCAUGGGGUAAGGGCGGGACCGAGCCGAUAUUCCGCCCAUCACUGAAGAUUCUCCAGCUCGUUUUCCCGACCCGCUCCCUGUCGGGACUCUCCGUUCCUUUCGCCUCAGCUCGUCCAGCUGUUCACUUUUUAUUCUUGCCGAUUUCUCCUCUUCGAUUUCUAUAUCUCGCCUCGCCUGCUCAUACCCCGACGAGUAAUUCUGUACAAGGGGGCUUCUUAAGUUAUACCAUAGUCGGCCGAUUCUUACACCUUCUUUUAAUCCCCUCAACGCCUGCGGGUGAUUAAAAGCUCCCAGAUCCAGCACGGCUCGGUGAUAUCUUUUUACAACCAUUUUGGGCCAAGAGCACCAUGGUUGGGAUCCCUAGUAUUUUGAUUCACCUUCCUAAGUACCCAAUCUCCUGCUCGGAACUGCCUCACGCGUACAUUCUUGUUGUAAUAACGCGUGACCCUUUGCUGACACUGGGCCACUUUCUGUGAGGCCCCUUCCAUUUUCUCCUCAAGUAGGUCCAGGCUUAAGCAGAUCUGCUCGUCAUUUUCUUCCUCAGCGAAAUAUUCCGUUCGAUGUGUCCCCACUCCAAUCUCUGCUGGGACUACUGCCUCAUGACCAAAAGAUAAAGCGAACGGGGUUUCCCCUGUAGCAGUUUUGUGAGUUGUCCGGUAAGCCCACAAUACCCCUGGUAGCUCGUCAACCCAAGCUCAUUGCAGAAUCUGCUCUUAUCCCGUCGGUGAGUCGGUUUUGUUAUUGGGGCUGGAGGGUACAGCAAGCUUCGUCCCUCGAUCCUCUCAUACAAUUCCUCCAUGGAGAUCUUUAACGGAGUGUACUGUCUAUACGCCAAGCUCUGGUCUAUCAGCUGAACUGCUCGGUUAUCAUGAAUGUCACCUCGGGCUGACACAGUCGCUAACUGAUCUGGUCGACUAGCCAUGGAAUUAGUUGCAUGUGAUGCUCUGGGAGUGUUGUGAUAGGGGUGGGCAGCCAUCUGCCGGAAUUCUCUUUGCCGAUCCGGGAAUGGGGGACGCGGAGGUUGAGCCCGGUUGUGCUGGAACUGCUGUGAUCUCAGAGCCAUGGGGUAAGGGCGGGACCGAGCCGAUAUUCCGCCCAUCACUGAAGAUUCUCCAGCUCGUUUUCCCGACCCGCUCCCUGUCGGGACUCUCCGUUCCUUUCGCCUCAGCUCGUCCAGCUGUUCACUUUUUAUUCUUGCCGAUUUCUCCUCUUCGAUUUCUAUAUCUCGCCUCGCCUGCUCAUACCCCGACGAGUAAUUCUGUACAAGGGGGCUUCUUAAGUUAUACCACAGUCGGCCGAUUCUUACACCUUCUUUUAAUCCCCUCAACGCCUGCGGGUGAUUAAAAGCUCCCAGAUCCAGCACGGCUCGGUGAUAUCUUUUUACAAAAUCUCGAAGGGAUUCAUGCUCCUCCUGUUUCAUCCCCAUCAGUUCCAUCAUAUCGUCCUCUGGGGCCAUUGCCCCUCGGAACUGCUCGGCCAACUCCUGGCACAUCUGCUCAUACCCUUUUAUACUUCCUCGGGGCAGCUUGCGGUACCAUUCUCGGGCUCGUCCCUCUAAUGUCAACGGGAACACCCUGCACCUCUGAGCUGAUGUCAGCCCCUGCACACCCGUCAUGUCGUUGAAACGCUCAAUGUGCACCAGCGGGACAUUUCGCCCGGAGUAUUUGAGGUCGGGGAAGCGGAAAUCUCUUGGGAUUAUGGUACUCAUGAUCUCAGUUGAUAACAGAGAUUCUUCAUCUAGCAUUAUCCUCCAGGUCGAGGCUUUCUCUUGCCCUGUAUCUCCUCUAUCACCUACGCCAAUCUGCGCACCUCCCCCUCCAAUUCUAAGGCACGGUCAGGAUCACGUGCAGCUAUAUGGUCUCGUUCCAGCUCGGCAUUGUGUAACCGCUAUCUGAGCUCUCCUUCGUCAACACUGGCACCUCGGCCAUUGACUUCCAGGACCUGUCCGGGGCGAGGUUGGUCCCUCCCUUCAUCCACGCGUUCUCCCGGGACCCGACCAGUACUUCUGUGGGGAUGCACCCCAUUAGGUUGGUCUGCGGGCGGAGGGAUUUCCUCGACUCUACGCCUCCGAAGGCUGGGUUCUACUCCAACUUCAUCUCUUCCCACGGGGGUUUCACAAUCCCUUCUCCGCUCAUCCCUCAGCUCGAACAAUAUGGUUGCGAGAGUCUCCAUUUGUUUCUCCAUCCGCUCCAGUCUAUCUUGCAUCAUCUUCUCUCGGGCUUCAUUUGCAAUUUCCCGGAGAGUGACUGUCUCCCCAGCUUCGUUAUCCUCCCUCAAAGCGUCCUUCCUUGUCACAUCCAUGCCUAACCGUUCGCUGUUUUUCCAGUAACUACUAAUUCGGUGGUAGCUUUUUAUCCAGNNNNNNNNNNNNNNNNNNNNNNNNNNNNNNNNNNNNNNNNNNNNNNNNNNNNNNNNNNNNNNNNNNNNNNNNNNNNNNNNNNNNNNNNNNNNNNNNNNNNNNNNNNNNNNNNNNNNNNNNNNNNNNNNNNNNNNNNNNNNNNNNNNNNNNNNNNNNNNNNNNNNNNNNNNNNNNNNNNNNNNNNNNNNNNNNNNNNNNNNNNNNNNNNNNNNNNNNNNNNNNNNNNNNNNNNNNNNNNNNNNNNNNNNNNNNNNNNNNNNNNNNNNNNNNNNNNNNNNNNNNNNNNNNNNNNNNNNNNNNNNNNNNNNNNNNNNNNNNNNNNNNNNNNNNNNNNNNNNNNNNNNNNNNNNNNNNNNNNNNNNNNNNNNNNNNNNNNNNNNNNNNNNNNNNNNNNNNNNNNNNNNNNNNNNNNNNNNNNNNNNNNNNNNNNNNNNNNNNNNNNNNNNNNNNNNNNNNNNNNNNNNNNNNNNNNNNNNNNNNNNNNNNNNNNNNNNNNNNNNNNNNNNNNNNNNNNNNNNNNNNNNNNNNNNNNNNNNNNNNNNNNNNNNNNNNNNNNNNNNNNNGUUGAUAACGGAGAUUCUUCAUCUAGCAUUAUCCUCCAGCUCGGGGGCUUUCUCUUGCCCUGUAUCUUCUCUAUCACCUGUGCCAAUCUGCGCACCUCCUCCUCCAAUUCUACGGCACGAUCAGGAUCACGUGCAGCUAUAUGGUCUCGUUCCAGCUUGGCAUUGUGUAACCGCUGUCUGAGCUCUCCUUCGUCAACACUGGCACCUCGGCCAUUGACUUCCAGGACCUGUCCGGGGCGAGGUUGGUCCCUCCCUUCAUCCACGCGUUCUCCCGGGACCCGACCAGUACUUCUGUGGGGAUGCACCCCAUUAGGUUGGUCUGCGGGCGGAGGGAUUUCCUCUACUCUACGCCUCCGGAGGCUGGGUUCUGCUCCAACUUCAUCUCUUCCCACGGGGGUUUCACAAUCCCUUCUCCGCUCAUCCCUCAGCUCGAACAAUAUGGUUGCGAGAGUCUCCAUUUGUUUCUCCAUCCGCUCCAGUCUAUCUUGCAUCAUCUUCUCUCGGGCUUCAUUUGCAAUUUCCCGGAGAGUGACUGUCUCCCCAGCUUCGUUAUCCUCCCUCAAAGCGUCCUUCCUUGUCACAUCCAUGCCUAACUGUUCGCUGUUUUUCCGGUAACUACUAAUUCGGUGGUAGCUUUUUAUCCAGCUCCCCACAGACGGCGCCAAAAUGUUGAUGCUGAAAUCUGCUCGCCUCUUGACCGACCAGAUUCUUUCACCAACGUUUGUGUUAUCUACUGUUGCUUGUUCACUAGGAUUGGAAUCGUCCUUCUUUCUCUCAAUAGACCUGCACUCACUAAAAAUGGAUCAGAGACGCCGGUGGUUUUACCGGCGUAAACCCUCCGAUGCCUAAGUUAGCACAAGGUGUUUACAGGAAAACAGUGUAAUUUGGAUUCCAGGAGCUUAUUAAAAAUUUGUAAGGAAAUGGCCUAGUUGCAAUUUGGCAGCGUUUUCCCUCUCUCUCUUUUUUUCCCCUUUCUUCACCGAUUUCUUCUUCUUUUAUAGCCGUUGUCCCCACGUUUCCGUUUGCCAUUCAUCUCACCUUUUUCGGGUAGUGGCAGCCCCUUAUGGGAUUUUAACUGCUACAUUGUGGGCAAACGUGGGAUCUCGCAUCUCCCACAACGGUUCUGGGAAAAGCGCAACUACCGCGAUUCUGUGGGAUCGUAUUUCCGCUUUUUGGGGGACGGGUACCGGCUCGGUAUACAACUCUGGUCGGUAUUCGUCUCUGAUCAGCUCAUGUUACCCCCUGUUCUGCUCGUACCAUUUGGCUGAGGUGAUUCAUGCCGGGGUGGAAAUAGUAGCAUGGCCGACCUGGUGCUUUUAUUUGCUUAACAGAAGGUAUUUUCAGAAUGUUAAAAUUUCAAUGGGAACAGAUUUUUUAUUCCCAAAAAUCGAUCGUUGAGAAUUAGUCUCGCAUUUUCAUGCUUAUUUUAGUCUUUCAUUUUGAUGCUUAUUUUGUAAAGUAAAUGCUAUUAAUAAUUUCGAUUCUCCAAUCAAGAAAGUAAACAUAAGUAAACAUCGCAGUAAUGUAUAACUAUAGCAAAUUUAUGAUAUAAAGUAUUGUCAUUAUAUAUAUGUUUAUACUCGCGCGGAAUCUACGUAAGCACUCGUGGCCACAGCACACUCAAGAGGAAGCCCUUUUGGGAAGCGCUUUGUGUCUGUACAAUAAUUAUAAAUCAUGUAAUUCUUCUGCACCCACUUGAGUUUCUCUCGGCUUGUUUCAUCAAGCUCAUCGAUCUUCAUCCAUGCAGAGGAUGAAGAAUUCGAAGGGCAAGGCGCAGAAAUGAUUGGACCUGCUGGGUAACGAAUGCAAGUUUUGGCAUUAAAGUUUCUACAAGAAGCUGUAAAUGGAGCUUUUGUCCAAUCUGUUUUGACAAGACCGCCUCUUGUUGCCCAGUCAUCAGCGUUCCAGAGACUCGAGUGUAUUCUCAUUGGUUGGUUUUUUGGGUAAGGAAUGUUGAUUGACUCCAAGUUCUUGAACUCUCUAAUCGGUGUGCCAUCGACAUAGAAUCUGAAAACGUUUUUAAACAAAAAUGUUAGAGAGCCUUUUUAACCCAAAAGAGCCCAAAGAAUAUAUGAAGUAUUAAACCAAAAAAAAGAGACACGUCUAAUAAAAAAAAGAAGAGGAUUAAUUAGUGACUUGAAUUGUUGCUUGUUUUCAACAAGAGAUGAUUAGUGGAUUGAAAUUCUUACACGAUGGUUUUGGGAUUCCAGAGAAUGGAAUAUGUGUGAAAAUCUGAAGUGGGAUCAAACCAGGGAUAAAAUUGCUGCUCUCUGUCACCUUUGCCUUGUGUGAUUACAUUUGUGUGAAAAAUAUAAGGAUCGCCACUGAGAUUUCCCAAGAACUCAAAGUCUAUCUCAUCCCAUGUUGAUCCUUGUGAUGACAACUAUAACACAGAAUUAAAAAUAAGCUUACUCUUAAAGAGAAAAACAUUUUCGUGCAAGAUCACUGGCAGCUUACGCCUUACAUAGUAAGAUGUGACAGUGCCAGCAGAGUUGCCUGGGACAAGCUUGAAUUGCAUGUCAAUUUUGCCAAAUAGAUACUCAUUCUUGGACUGGAAACCUGAGCCUGUGUCUUUGCCAAGGUAAAGAUUGAGGACUUCUCCAUCGUUGCGAAUCCUGACCUUGUCAAUUCCCCAUAUGAUGUCAAAAUCUUGAUAAAAAUUACUAGCUGGUAAAACUAACACAAAAGAGUUAGAUAAUAAAGCAGACAGCAUUAUCAGCACUACUAGUGAUUUAGCCGCAGCCAUUGUGCGAUAUUUAAAAUUUUGUUAUAGUUUUGGAUUUUUAUAGAGACGAAAAGAAAGAAGCGAUUUGCCAUUUGGAAAAAGAAAAAUGAAAAUUUUAAGAGAUAAGAUAGAUGAUGGGGAAGAGUUAGAGUCAAGGAUUAGGCUAGCACUUGUGGGGCAAAGAGCAAGAGCGGGAAACAGAUGGCAAAGACUGAAAUUAGUGAAAAGAAACUGCGAAAAUGCGGAUUUAUGCAUGUCACACAAGUGACAGCCCUAAGCAUGGUUUAUUAACACGUUGAAAUUUUGGCUGAUGGGUGCUUUUUGACCACUCUAUAUAGUUUCCGCAUCUACUGACCGGCUGGGCUCAGCCCUAUGUGAUUAGGAUGACUUUGGAGCAGUUUCCGUACUUAGAAUAGUCCCAAAAUAUGCUUAAGAAAAUGAGCAGGGUGUUCAAAAUCUAAUUCAAUUGGCUUAAUCCCAAAAUUAAUAGUCCCAAAAUUUGACUUUUAUAAUCGCCGAGAGUAAAAAUGAUUAUCUUAAGAUUUCAACAAGUCUUAAUAUAUUUUUCUUCACUUUUCUUUCUAGUAAUCAUGACAAUACAAAAAUUGUAACUAAAAAAGAAGAAUUAUGUACUUGGUCAUGAUUCAUGAGGAGACAUAAUGAAUCUUAUAAAAUGAAACCUUUGACUUCAAUUGGAUCUUGAGUCGCACAACCACUCUAGCUUUAUACAUAUUGUGUCUAGAUAUAAUAAAGUUCAAUGGUGCUCGUCGUUAAUUACUGUUAAAUGAUAAUAAAGUUUUAGCAAGAUGAUAUGAAUAUAAAGAGCAAAACAAUUUCGGAAUAUUUUGAGCUGUCAUAUUUACAUAAUUAACUUAACAGCUAAUAUGUUUAUCAAACAUUUACACAGUAAUAAUUAAUAUUAAUAACUUUUGUAACAACUCAAUCCCAAACUUGCCUCUUUUUAAUGUUUUGAAAUUAAACUUUACCUUUAAAUGUGUUGACAGAUAUUGACUCCUCCAAAUUAGCUCCAUCAACUGAAAUUCACCGCCACGUUUCCCCGACAUCUUAGGCGCCAGCAUCAUUUACACGUGGCAAAAAGAUAACUUUACACUUAUUUGAUAAACACAAAAGUAAAACUUCAAUUAAUCAAAUUAGAAAUAAUAGCUACCUGAUGUCCCAAAAUAUUUGUAUGAAGUCACAUAAAUCUUAUCACAACGAACAAAGUAGCUAGCUAUCACUUCUAUUUGGUCCAUUUUUCAUCUGCAUCAUUUUCCUACGUCCUGCAUGAAGGACCAAAAACAGAAGGAGCAGCUGGGGGAUGAAGGGAAAAACCCUAAUGGUCAAAACCCUUGUGGAGAAAACCCUAAUGGAGAAAGCCCUAAAAAGCAAAAUGAUGAUGCUUCACUUGUACGGCAUCCUGUGAAGAGUACUGGUCAUCAUCUGAUCGCUGAUGAUUCUUAUUUUGAUUCAUUCCCGCCUGGUUACCGAUUCAAACCCCACGAUGGAGAACUUGUGGUUUAUUACUUGCGGAGGAAGAUACUGAAUCAGCCAUUGCCUCCAAACCAGAUCAAGGUGGUGGAGUUGUAUAGGUUUAAUCCUAACACACUUACAGGUUAGGGGAAAAAAAAGUCACUUUUAAUUUCUUAUUUUCUCAAUUUCUGUGUUGUAUGUUGUUUUAUUGGCACGCAUCAUAUAUGAUUAAUUUUUUUUAUAAAAAAAUCUGUUUAUUCCUUAUUUCUCGAGAUUAUUAUUUAUUAGAAUGGAAAUUUUCUGAGUCUCGUUAGUGGCUUCUCUACUCUUUAUUAUUCAAAUUUUGUAGUCUUCGCUUGGGAUAUUUGUGGCUUCUCUACUCUUUUUCACGAUAGAUGUUUAUGCCAUUACAUAUAUAAUAUUACAGUGUAUAUUUUAAUGUGAUGCGAUUUUACAUCAGGUAUGAUUUUAGAUUUAGAUGGUGUUGUAAAUCAGCAUAUAAAAUUUAAUCCCCUCAUAUUGAAAACGUUUAUAAUAUGUUAUUUCUUUCGUAUUAGUUUGUCUACAUUUUUUUUGUUUCAUGAUAUCUUUAUGAAAUUUCUUUUAUUCUGUCCACUGAUGCAAUGAUUUACAGAAAGGUACAAGUCACUUGGUGAAAUGGAAUGUUAUUUCCUUACACCAAGAGAUAGAAAAUAUCGAAAUGGUCUAAGACCCAAUCGAGCUGCUGCAGAUGGGUACUGGAAGGCCACAGGAGCUGAUAAACCUGUUAAGCACAAUGGCAGUUUGGUUGGAUUCAAGAAGGCAUUGGUCUUCUACAAGGGAAAAGCUCCAAAGGGUGAUAAGACUAACUGGAUCAUGCAUGAAUACAUAGUGAAUAAUCCACCACAGAAACAAAAAGGCCGAAAUGAUAUGAGGGUAAAUGAUUUUCCUUGUUGUCCAAAUUCAUUUUUAUUUGAUUCUUUUUUUUGGUUUUAUUCGACUAAUUUCUGCUUCAUACAAGUCCCUUGCAGUUAGAUGACUGGGUUCUCUGUAGGAUCUAUAAGAAAACAAAGCAGUCAGCCAAAGCUUCUACUCGAAAACGAGAGGAUUCAGAGGAGGAUCAACAAUCAAGAAGCGAAGUUGCAACUCAAUCUCAAGAUAGUGGACAAACUUCAGUUGAUGAAAAGGCUAAAAUGCUGCCCAAAACAGAAAAUUUCAAGCCUGAAGGCCUUGGAAUCUUUGAUGUGCCUGAUUACUACAACCAGGGAAGAUUCUUCAGCGCAUAUGAUAAUGUCCUUUUAUCUUGUCAGAGUCCAUAUGCUAAUUUUCAGGAUGGUCAUCAGGGUAAUUCUCAGAAUUGGCUUCCUUUAAUCCCUCAGUCGGGGUUUCAGCAAAUGCUCCAUCAUAAUCCUACGUGGGAGAGCCCUAUGAAGCCUGAACAGUUCGGAUAUCCGCCCGAUGAUGUGUUUAGUGAUCUCCCUUCGGAAGACAAUUGUUUUGAUCCUCUACCUCAUAAUUUUACGAACUUAUAACUCUUUUCAUUUUGUGAUUCGAUUAGUUAAUGGUAGCUGACAUUAAUUGGCAUUUAUAAUAAGUUAGUUAGAGUGUACUUUAGUAGAGGUCGGUUUUCUUGAACUCAAUUUUUCUUGCAAUUCUGUGUACUUUGAUUGUUAUUUAUAUGAAUGUCAGCAGCAUGGAUAUUCAAGGAGAGUUGCUAUUUCUAUGGGUGGUAUGCUAAGGCUCCAUUUGCUUUAGCUUUUUGGUACUAAUUCUGUUACCAUUAUCAAAAUAUUUAAAAUAUUUGUAACUCAACUUUGACAGUACAACUGAUUAUUUCUCACAGUUUUCAGUUGUAACGCUCUUUGAACAAGAUUUUCUAAUCACUAAAAUUAUAUACAUAGUUUCCUAGAAUACCAAAUUAUUUACGUGACGAUCAUAUUCUUUGUUUGCCUCAAAGCUUGAGUUGUUUCUUUUAUCUCUCUUAAUUCCAAUUCAAGAGCUGUUUUCAGAAUUUUUUUUCCUUAAAUCCCAAUAGAAAAAAUGUAACGGAACAAUUUGUUAUGAAUGUAAUAAGCCAUAUAUAUCACAAAAAGGAGCAUAAACUGCACGGCUACUAUAUAUUGUUGAAGCUCUAUGAUUUUUAAAUUCUUUAUGAACGAUGUACCUCCGAUGUACUUUUAUUUUUUCUUCUUUUUGUCAUUUUGAGAUAAAUUUUUCUCCUCGAUCUCUUUAGAUGUUCAUAACUAAAUAUUCUUUAAGAUAGAGCGCAAUGUUUUAUCCCUACCACCACAACCCUAUCAUAAAGGAGACUAAAAAUUUGAGUUGGAGAAACAAGAAACUCAAUUCAAUCUAUAGAAAUUAUGAAGCCGUGUGAUAUGAUGAACUAACGGAGCUGCAGAAUGGCCUUUGAAAGUAAUGUUAAAAGCUUAAAACCUUUUUGAGUUUCCUUUAGCAAAUGUCAUAUGCAUUUUCUCUGAUCAAUGCACGAGAAAAUAUAACUUAGAGAUUGUUUAUCAAACGUUAGAAGUUUGUUAUUUGUUUUUGUGAUUUAUGUCUGAUUUUUAGAUAUUUACAUUUGAAUGGAAAAAAUAAAUUUUUAUAUCUUUUAUUUGAAUGGAAAAGGUUUGCAUGAAAAAUAAAUAUUAUAUUCCAAAAAUAUCUGUAUAAAAUAGUUUAUUUCCUCAACUAUAAGAUCUAAUCCUUUUUUGUUUUAAUUUAUGAGGAUAUAAUUAUCAAAGAAUCAAGUUUAAAACCUUUUUUUUUUGUUAUAAAAACAAAUAAGAUGUCAUUUAUACUCAUAUAUUAAAAAAAAAAAAGAAAUCUAAACGUUUCAUUCAAUUUUUUUUUAUUUAAAUCCAUUCAAACUUCUGAAAAAUUCAGAUUCAUUCUAAUUUCAGACUUUAAAAAAAAAUGUUAUCUUACUACAAACUAAAUUCCAAACUUAAUAAAUUAAUAUCAGAUCCCAGCCACAAUUCGCAUAUGAAAUGUUUGAGAACGAAGUUGUGAGAAAAUGCAGUCAGAAUCGACUGCCAUCAAUUAACAAGUUCCUUGGGAGGAAACAUGUUCAAUUUCUUUUUCUUUUUCUUUUUUUCCAAAAUUUUAAUGUGGAAAAUUAAUUCGGAUGCCGGGGUUAGUCCAACCACAGCACUCAUACUGGGCCGUGCGAGUUAAUUUUUGGGCCAAGUUCUUAACAUAUUUACUCAAUAUUUUGGAUGACAAAAUUGCCCAUAAACGCCCUGCAAGGACAUAACUGCAGAAAACAGGCUGGAGUAAAGUAUGCGACUAUGCGGUAACAAAACUUUCGGGACGCCUGCGUUAAUGACUUUUUGUUACUGCCACAAAGCAGUCACAAAAAGGUCAUUUGUGACUGCGGAGUGAUCACAUAAAACUCCUCCUCCUUGUAGUGCCACCUGCAAAAUAAUCCAUACUAGACCUCCUAAUUCUUCAUUUUCAUCCCUAUUAUUAAGUUAACUCGAUUGAAAUAUAUAUUUAUGAAAUUACAUGCACCAACUAUUUAUCGAGAAUUACAUUAAAUUAUGUAUAUAGCUAAUGUAAGAUCAAUUUGGAGAACUAAAAAUAUGUUAAUAAAAAUAGAAAACCGGGUUAUAUCGUUUGUCCCUCUUGUUCAUGUAUCGAUUUUUUUUUUUUAAAUUCCGCGGAACUACUGCAGCUACAGUGCUGGAAAGGAGCAAAUAUGUCGGAUUAUGCUAAGGAUUGCAUUAAAUGAACAAGAAGCUAUCCUAUAUUCUCUCAUUUUGCUAAAAGAUAAGGCAGUGAAAUAACUUCUAUUCUACUUCUACUUUGAAGAAUUUUACUGCUUCUCAAUCAACUACAUCAGCAGAAACUAUCAUAUUUCGCCACAUCAGCUUCAAUGACAGCUACUAAAGCACACAUUCUGGAAUCAUUGAACUCAAUCAUAACCAUCAAAUCAUUGACCACCGAUAGAUUGGCAUCUUAACUGAAUCCAAAGGAUAAAUCGCCUUCCGAAAACCGUUUGAUAAACCGAUCAGUUAGAAAAAGUAUCUACUUUAUUUAAUGUUAUAUAAUCCAAAUAAAUUAGUAUAAAAUAAGCCCCUAAUAGGAUUCUAGGGUUUUGAUUAGAGAAUUAAGAGAGAAUAGAUGAAGAAGUUAAAGAGAAGGGAGAAGAAUUAAUAGGAAUUAAAAUUAAUUUUAUUACUUGCGUCCUAAAAACAUAAUAAGAACCACUUACUUAUAGUAGUUCAAGACAAUCCUAAUUGUAAUUUAAUAAGGACUUUAAUUGAAAUAAGAAAAGCUAAUACUAAUAGGAAAGAAAUUAAAACAAGCAAUUAAAAUAAAAUAAACUAUUAGGGCCCUAACAGCCCCCAUGCAUCUGAUCACAACAAAUAUUCUUGAUGUAUCUGAUCACAACAAAUAUUCUUGUGAGGUCAAUUUUAUAGGGAAAGCAGCGUCUCCUUCAAGUUUCGGUAAAAGUUAUCAAUGCCGGACCAGCAGCAGGGAGAUAAGGACCAAGACCCUAACGGCCAAGACCGCAAUGGUAAAAACCCUAAUGGCCAAGGCCCUAAAGGAAAAAGGCCUAUAGAUCAUACUCGUGAUGCUUCACCACCUGUGCGGAAUCGGAUGAAUGCUGCUAAGGGUCCUGAGUUCGAUGAUAACUUUCCUCCUGGUUACAGGUUCAAGCCUCACGACAUAGAGCUUCUAGUUCAUUACUUGCGGAGGAAGAGAAUGAAUGAACCUUUGCCACCAAAUCGGAUUAAGGAAGUUCACUUGUACAAAUUUAAUCCUGAUACACUUUCAGGUUAAAAAUACCCACCACCCCAUUUCUCUUUUUUGUUUCUUUUGUUUUUUUGCAAUUGCCUUGCUGGUAUUUUUCUUUAAAUUAAGUAAUGCACUUACGCAUAUUAAGUUCUUUCUUUUUCUUGAGUUCAUUUGGUUAUUAAUUAGAGUGUAACUUCUUGAGUUUCUUGAAAUGGUUUAGUUUCUUGAGUUAGAAGUGUUUCCUUUGCGUUCGUUAUACAUAUAGUCUCAUAAUUUGAUUUGUUUUCGUACUUUGGUAAUGCUCUUAGCGCUUUUCUUGAGUUCAUUUGUAAUUGGAGUGGGCAUUUCUUGAGUUUCUUGAAAUAAAAUGGUCUGCUCUUCAGUUUCUUGAGUUAAAAGUUACUUCUUUGCGUUGUUGAAUGCUGAUUUAAUUUUCUACAUAUGGUCUCGUAGUUUGGUGCUUGUAUGUAUCCAAAACAAAGACUAUAAAUAUUUAUGUUGAUAUUAUUCCGUAUUCCAUAUAAUGGAAUCAGGAAGUGUAGAUCUUUUUUUUUUUUUUGGGUGAUUGAUACAAUGAUGAUUCUGUAUUAAUAAUGCACAGAAAAGUAUAAGCCGUUUGGUGAGAAUGAAUGGUACUUUUUUACUCCAAGAGAGAGAAAGUACAAAAACGGGACAAGACCCAAUAGAGCUGCUGGAGAUGGAUUCUGGAAGGCAACUGGAGCUGACAAACCUAUCAAAAACGACGACGUUGUCGUUGGAUUCAAGAAGGCAUUGGUCUUCUACAUGGGAAAACCCCCAAGGGGAGAUAAAACUGAAUGGAUAAUGCAUGAAUUUAGAUUGGAGGGUCCUCCAAGGACCAGAAUCAGUGGAGAUGACAUGAGGGUAACUAAAUUUUGUAGCUUCUUUCUGUGUCAUAUGUGAUGUGUUGCAGCAAUUUUACAAUGUUGGUUUGCUGAUGAGUUUUGCUUUUAUAUAUUAUGUUGAUUGCAGUUAGAUGAUUGGGUACUGUGUAAGAUAUAUAAGAAAAGGGACCAGGAUAGAUCUAAGCUGUCGUCUUCAAGACCUUCAACUUCGCAACGGGAUGAUUCAAUUUCAGGCCAAGAUGAUCCACAAUCAGACACUGAAUUUCAGGAUAAUGGAGCCAUUGAUAUGGGAGUUGAAGACUCUGCUACGCUGCCCAAUGAAACUUUCAUGCCUCACGGUCCUGAAGGUCCUCGAAUCAUUGAUAUGUCUGGUUUCUACAAUCAGGGAGGAUUUCUCAAUUCAUAUGAUGAUACUUUCAUUUAUCAUCAGAGCCACUUUGUUAAUCACAAUGUCCCAUAUUCUCAAGGCAGGGUUCCUGAAAUGCCUAAUUACUAUGUUCCAUAUGCUCAAGGCAGGGUCACUGGAAUGCCUAAUCACAAUGUUCCCUAUUCUCAAGGAAGGCUCCCUCGAUUGGCUAAUCACAAUGUUUCAGAUUCUCAAGGAAGGUUCCCUGGAAUGACAAAUCAAAAUGUUUCAGUUUCAGUUUCUCAGGGGAGGUUCCCUACAAUUGCUCCUUAUUCGUAUAACAAUUCUAUGGGGCAGAGCUCUCCAUGGACUCAACAUAUAAUGAUUCCGACUGCUAAUCAGAAUCCUAAUGAAGCUGCCGAAUCAUCAGCAGCAGCAAGGGGAAGACCUUUCCAGGCAUAUCCUCAUCAACAUAUGUUUGCUACUUCAAAUCGGAAUCCUAAUCAACCUGCAGAAAUAUCAUCAUCAGCAGCAGCAAGACCUUUCCAGACAUAUCCUCAUCAUCAUAUGUUUGCUACUUCUAAUCAAGUGGCAGAAUCAUCAUCAGCUGCAGCAGCAAGACCAUUUCAAGGUUUGGAGAGCGAUAUGAAAUUUGAACAGUUAAAUGAAUGUCCCCCGGAUGAUUUUUUGAAGGACCCUUCUGACGACAAUUGCUUUGAUCCGGAUUAUCAUAACUCCCGGAAAUUCUAACUCUGCCAUUUUUUUAUCCUUCGAUGAUCGAUGAUGACUGGCUUUGACAGAUUUGUUGAUUGAAAACGUAGUCAUAGUUACUACUAACUUUGUGCUUGACGUGAACAUUUCCAUAGAUUUUUCUCUAGGACGAUUAAUGGAUUAUUUUCUUAGAGGACUCUAUCUUCUAUUUUAGUUGUGGACCCAAUUUCUCUCACUUUGCAAGUGCCUCAUGUUGAUAGAUUUUAAAUUUGUCUUGAUUGCCAUGCAAAUUUUUAAAUAAGGUGGAUGUGGCUAUCCUUUUAUAAAUCACACUGAUUCAUAAAUAUUAUUCCCGCUUCCUAUGUCAUUAAAAGUAUAGAUUUUUGGUUUGUUAUAAUAUAUGACAUGGGGAACCCGGCUGAAACUUUUUUGGUUCAAUUACAAUGGUUACGCGUUGCCCAUUUGGUUACUUUAUAUUUUGUUGACAUAGGGUUACAAGCUUCUGGCAGCUGCUGUUUCUUCUGGAUAUAUAUAAUGCUAUUACAUUUUCCAUGGGGUAUGCCCUAUUUUUUCAGCCUUAAAAACUUUCAUGGUCUCCCUCGAUGUUUUCAGAAUCCUAAGAGGGAAGUGGGGAAAUCUAAUGCUACAAUAUAGUAAAUCCAAAACCAUUUCUCUUUGAUCUGGCAACUUCUGGGUGUCCACUAGAACAUACUAGAAAACAAAUUUUCAUGGAAGUGGCAUCGCAUUAUUUGUCGGUGGAUAUGCCAAAUGCUCAGGAGUAGGUGGAAAUAACCUAGGAAGCAAGUAGCAACUAUGCUCAUCUCUCCUGUAAAAUAAUGCCCGCAAGCAAUUUGACUGGCUUAAAGUUAUGACAAAGAUGCCCAUUUUCAAUGUGCACUUGUUUUUGCUAUCCAGCUGUUCAGUUCUCAACUCACCCCACCAACCAACUAUACAUUUCAAUAUUUGGCGAACAUUCGAUGCACUAACCAGCAGCUCCAAUAAAUAGCCUGGAACUCAGUAUUCUCAAGUGUGUCAAACUAAGUUGCAUAACGUUCCCGAAGUCAAUGCCUUGCUAUUCUUAUUCUUCUUAUCCAAUUUUCUUGUUCUCUUUUAUUGUCACAAGCUCUUUCAUUGUUGCAAAUGCUGGUAAUUUUAACAAAGAUGUUGAUAUUACAUGGGGUGAUGGACGUGCCAAGAUUCUCAACAAAGGCAAGCUUCUUACUCUGUCUCUCGACAAAGCAUCUGGCUCUGGCUUCCAGUCUAAGAAUGAAUUUUUCUAUGGAAAAUUUGAUAUGCAGCUCAAGCUUGUUCCCAACAACUCUGCUGGCACUGUCACUGCCUACUAUGUAAGCUCCUUAAUGAAAGAUUCUUUUUCCCUUUCACAUAUAAUUUGUUUGUCAGUCGUCACAUCAUUAUGUUGAUACGUAGACUUGCUAUGGUGCAGCUAAAAUCUCCAGGGGCAUCAUGGGAUGAAAUAGACUUCGAAUUCCUGGGGAAUUUGAGUGGCAACCCUUACAUUGUUCACACAAAUGUCUACACACAAGGAUAAGGUGACAGAGAGCAACAAUUCUACCUCUGGUUUGAUCCCACUGCCGAUUUUCACACUUAUUCAAUCCUCUGGAAUCCAGGUCACAUUGUGUUAGUACAUACACAACCCUGAUGUGAGCGAAAUUCGAAUCCUGGAUUUAAUUUUAUCAAGCUCGCAUUAACUUUUUAUUACAUUUUCUUUUUGUUCAGCUUCUAUAUCGAUGGCAGACCCAUCAGAGAAUUCAAGAAUCUCGAAUCAUUCGGCAUUCCGUAUCCCAAAAAACAAUCAAUGAGAAUGUAUGCUAGCCUGUGGAAUGCCGAUGACUGGGCUACAAGAGGGGGCCUGGCGAAAACAGACUGGUCUCAGGCUCCCUUCACUGCUUCCUUCGGAAACUUCAAUGCAAAAGCUUGUGUUUUGUCCAUCGGAAUAUCUUCUUGCAGCUCGAAUCCCGCAACUAAAAAUACAUGGUUUUCACAGGAGCUCGACUCUUCAAGCCAAAGGAAGCUAAAAUGGGUGCAGCAAAAUUACAUGGUUUACAAUUAUUGCGCAGACACAAGUUGGUUCCCUCAGUGCCUCCCCCAAGAAUGCACCAACAAAAAUUAGGACGAUGAAUCUUUUCUAAUCCAUUCAGUGUUUGGAAAUUCGUAUUUCAAUUAUAUUUUUAUUCUUUCUUCUACUUUUCUCAAUAGGGUUUCUUGAUUGCCAUCAAUCAUAUAACAUAAGAAUAUCGCUUCCCACUUGAUGCAUCUAAAUAAUAGUAAUAAAUGAUGUAGGAUGGUUUCAUCAAAAUUCAUUUUUCUUUUUAUUUUUUCAUUUUGGACUUCGGUUGGCAUCCUCAUCAUUAGAUAAUUAUUCUACAAAGUAAUAUAAUAUAUUAUUUACCCUUAUUAUAUAUGCCAAUUAUCAAGAAGAAAUGGGUAGGUAUUGAUAUUAAGGACUCAUCAGGUCCCUGCUAGGCCCAAAUGAAAUUAGUUCAAGAAUCAUGAACCUUGCAGGCCGAGCUCUAAUGGGCCAUUUAUGAUUUGCAUAAGUAUCCCAAACUUCUUCCAAAGAUAACUGCAAAAAAUUUAACAAAGUUGAUUGUUUUCCUCAAAUCGAACAAUAUUCAGAUUUUGUUCAGUGUUCAAUUACCCUAAGAAUUUUCUUUCCUAACUCAUGCAGAGCAAUCCAUAAUCUCAUUUCGCCAUGGCUUUUAUCCAAGUCACAUGUAGCCGCCCAUGCAUGGGGAGAUUGUAUAUUACAUUGAAAAUUUAUACCGUUAUGAUACUGCUCACAGGAAACAUGUCACCAAGUGUUAAGAAAGACGAGUUAUAUAAUACGUAAUUAACUAAUCACUGAACCCAAAGCAUGCGCCAACAAUGUCCUAAUUUGCCUCAACGACUUGUUUAUUAAGGCAAAGCCGGCCAGGGUCUUUUGAGAAAGCUUCAGCCAAGAUGCUGGAAGAGAGUGCUAGAGAGUGUUAAAGUGUAAUUUCCUUUACAAUAUGUUUGAACUGACACUUUGAAUGUCUUGAAAUUAAUACCAAUUUUUUUUGGGAUACUGCAUGUUAUAAUCAUUCUCAGGUGUGGACGCCGUAUUUUUUUUAAUACGGAUACACUUUUAUACUGUGUUGUUUAAAAGAUUUAGUUUUUAAAUGAACUGUAAAAUCGUAGGGCUUAAGUGAGUUAAAAGUUAAUUUUCUUAAAUUCUACGGUUUUAAAGUAUAUUCGCAUGAAAAUAAAAUAAGGAUGUCCACACUAUAAAAAGACUACUGCAUGUUAUAAGAAAGGUUAAAAAAAUUUUAUGAAUCAAUUUGUGGGUUGCAUGAACAGACUUCGUACUCAACUGUCAUUAUUCUUUGGACCUACAUUCUGGUUUCUCUCCUUUUUUUGUUUAAAUAAAGAAUCAAAUCUCUUUAUCUCGGCUUACUGUUGCAAGAAAAUUAAAAAGUACAAACCAAGAGAACGAAUACAAUACAACAUAAUCUGUUCCCCAACCCUCGAGGUAAUUAAUGGAAAGUGGGCAACAAUGUAUUUGACAGCAUUUCAAUAGAAGGAUGAUAUUCUGGUUUAUUUUCAAGGAUAGAUUGUGUUCGAGUAACAAUGUUUUAGAUGAUAUAUCACCAGCUGGCCUUUUGUAUCGUAGUCAUCUAAUGGACCCCCGUUCCUUGACCUGAUCCUGUUCACAAGUACGACAAUGACUAACCGACCGUCUGUCAAAUGCUUGAAAGAAUUUGACGCGGGAUUGAGCCCCAAGGACUGUGGUGGUGGAAUCGGCAGAAGCAAAAGUACAACCUAAACCCGUAUCUACAUAGAUAUGUGCGAGUACCGGAUAAUCAUGAUCGCAAUUCAAGAUCAAGUGGGUAUGCAUGCAGGCACCGAACCCCAUUUGGAAUUUGGGGCCAUGUCAUAUAAUCUGUCUGCAAAUGAGAAACAGCCAAAUUUGCCUCUCUUUCAAUUCAUGGCACAGCCAGCUGUUGACAACUUUGCACUCUCAGAAACGGCAAACAUGAAACAACCAUCCAAACGCACCCUCUUCUUCACUCUUCUUUUGUCCAUUUCUAUACUCCAAUCCCCUAUAUAAUAUUACAUUACAUCCAUGCAAAACUAGUAAUAAUUUAUGCACUAUUCAGUAUAGCGAGCUCCAGAUCCCAAAAUCCUGAAAGAUAUGGGUUCUGAUUCGUUUGGGGUGAUGAUGUGUACUUUUGUUGGGCGUUUAGCUGCUGUUUCUGCUGGUAAUUUCAAUGAGGAAUUUGAUAUCACAUGGGGAGAUGGUCAUGGGAAAAUAUUCAACAACGGCCAACUGCUUACUCUCAAUCUCGACCAUUACUCUGGCUCAGGCUUCCAGUCCAAGAAACAAUACUUAUUCGGCAAGAUUGAUAUGCAACUCAAGCUUGUCCCUCGCAACUCUGCUGGCACUGUCACUGCUUAUUAUGUACGCUUUUCUUUUUAUCAACACCUGCUGUUUUCAUUGAUUUCUUUGUAAUGAUGCUAAUUAAUAUUAAUUAUGAGAGUCUUUGAUGUUGUAGCUACGCUCACAAGGACCAACAUGGGAUGAGAUAGACUUUGUAUUCUUGGGAAACCUCAGUGGUCAUCCGUACACAGUUCACACAAAUGUGUACAGCCAAGGCAAGGGUGACAGAGAGCAGCAAUUUCAUCUCUGGUUUGACCCCACAGUCAACUUUCACACUUAUUCAGUUCUCUGGAAUCCUCAACGCAUUGUGUAAAGUCCAUUUCUCUCUUAUUAGUAUGUCAUUCGCUUCUACAAUUUUAUUGACUUGUGUUGUUCAAUUAAUUGCAUUAUUUCAGCUUCUCUGUUGAUGGUAUUCCAAUUAGAGAGUUCAGAAACCUGGAGGCUAUAGGCGUUCCAUUACCAAAGAAUCAGCCAAUGAGAAUAUACUCAUCUCUUUGGAAUGCUGAUGACUGGGCUACAAGAGGUGGGCUAAUCAAGACGGAUUGGAGCCAAGCUCCUUUCACUGCUUCUUACAGAAAUUUCAAGGUUGAUGGUAGCCGUGCCUGGCUCUUGCAACAAAUGGAUUCCACAAACCAACGGAGGCUUUACUGGGUGCGGAAGAAUCACAUGAUUUACAAUUACUGCACUGACACCAAGCGAUUUCCCCAGGGCUUUCCCAAAGAAUGCGCUGUCCAUUAAAGCUGGCUGUUCCAAAAACUUUAGCGCCUAGGUACAGGAGCUGUCUUGUAUAACAUAACAUUAAAUGAUAAAAUGUAAGCUAAUUAGUAGUGAGGGAUGCCUUUAGCACUAUCCGAAUUAGGUAGUCGGCUGGUUUUGUAUUUUGAAUAGCUAUUUAUUAACAUAAUAAUAAUAUUUAUUUUAAGAUUCUAAUUUUUUAAAGUUGCGUAUAUAUUGAAGGAAAAUUUAAUUUUUAGGAAUCUCCCUAUUAUUAUUCUCAUUCAUAAUUAUCUCUAUAUUUAAUAAUCUUUACUUUAAAAAUAAUUUUUUUUAUAAAAAUGUGAUAUUUAUGGUAUAAUAAUUAUUCUAAGCCUUUGAAACUUUAUUUGGUUAAUAAUUACAAGAAAAAAAUUCAACGUUUUCCCUUUCCCAAAAAUAACUACUCUAUUAAAAUUAUAAAUGUUAGAUUUUAAAACAUCUAGUAUUCUAUUCAUUCUAUUUCAAACUUCAAAACUAAUAGAUAUUGAAUCAAUGAUACUCACCCAAAAAAAAUUUCUCUCAUAUCUACUCGGAAUAUUAUUCUAAUCUUCCCUAUAAACUUCAUUGCCAGCAUCUAACAUUUGACUAUCAUAUUCAUCUCAACUAAUCAACCUUUUACGUGCUAUCGUUCUAAUUUUCUAUUUUAAUUUAUUAUUAUUAUUUUUUAAAUUUAUUAUAUUUUUUUAUUUGUUGCAUUAAUAUAUGACUUGAAUCAGUUAUGAAGUUUGUGAUUUGUAUAGCAUAAAUGUUGAUAAUUGACAAAUUUAACAAACAUGGUGAGCUUAGUUAAUGUUCUUUUAGAAAUAAAUAUAUAUCUUUUCAUUUAUUAUUAUUAUCUGCUGUACCGUACAUCUCUGGUUUGACCCCACAGUCAACUUUCACACUUAUUCAGUUCUCUGGAAUCCUCAACGCAUUGUGUAAAGUCCAUUUCUCUCUUAUUAGUAUGUCAUUCGCUUCUACAAUUUUAUUGACUUGUGUUGUUCAAUUAAUUGCAUUAUUUCAGCUUCUCUGUUGAUGGUAUUCCAAUUAGAGAGUUCAGAAACCUGGAGGCUAUAGGCGUUCCAUUACCAAAGAAUCAGCCAAUGAGAAUAUACUCAUCUCUUUGGAAUGCUGAUGACUGGGCUACAAGAGGUGGGCUAAUCAAGACGGAUUGGAGCCAAGCUCCUUUCACUGCUUCUUACAGAAAUUUCAAGGUUGAUGGUAGCCGUGCCUGGCUCUUGCAACAAAUGGAUUCCACAAACCAACGGAGGCUUUACUGGGUGCGGAAGAAUCACAUGAUUUACAAUUACUGCACUGACACCAAGCGAUUUCCCCAGGGCUUUCCCAAAGAAUGCGCUGUCCAUUAAAGCUGGCUGUUCCAAAAACUUUAGCGCCUAGGUACAGGAGCUGUCUUGUAUAACAUAACAUUAAAUGAUAAAAUGUAAGCUAAUUAGUAGUGAGGGAUGCCUUUAGCACUAUCCGAAUUAGGUAGUCGGCUGGUUUUGUAUUUUGAAUAGCUAUUUAUUAACAUAAUAAUAAUAUUUAUUUUAAGAUUCUAAUUUUUUAAAGUUGCGUAUAUAUUGAAGGAAAAUUUAAUUUUUAGGAAUCUCCCUAUUAUUAUUCUCAUUCAUAAUUAUCUCUAUAUUUAAUAAUCUUUACUUUAAAAAUAAUUUUUUUUAUAAAAAUGUGAUAUUUAUGGUAUAAUAAUUAUUCUAAGCCUUUGAAACUUUAUUUGGUUAAUAAUUACAAGAAAAAAAUUCAACGUUUUCCCUUUCCCAAAAAUAACUACUCUAUUAAAAUUAUAAAUGUUAGAUUUUAAAACAUCUAGUAUUCUAUUCAUUCUAUUUCAAACUUCAAAACUAAUAGAUAUUGAAUCAAUGAUACUCACCCAAAAAAAAUUUCUCUCAUAUCUACUCGGAAUAUUAUUCUAAUCUUCCCUAUAAACUUCAUUGCCAGCAUCUAACAUUUGACUAUCAUAUUCAUCUCAACUAAUCAACCUUUUACGUGCUAUCGUUCUAAUUUUCUAUUUUAAUUUAUUAUUAUUAUUUUUUAAAUUUAUUAUAUUUUUUUAUUUGUUGCAUUAAUAUAUGACUUGAAUCAGUUAUGAAGUUUGUGAUUUGUAUAGCAUAAAUGUUGAUAAUUGACAAAUUUAACAAACAUGGUGAGCUUAGUUAAUGUUCUUUUAGAAAUAAAUAUAUAUCUUUUCAUUUAUUAUUAUUAUUAUUAUUUGAUCUUUUUGGUAAUUGUUGAAAUUCACCAAAAAUGUAAAAUCUGGGGACGUCGGACGUCCAUACUGUAUGUUCUAUUUACAUCCAAGUCCCUUUAUGUUAUUAUUAUUAUUAUUUGAUUGAGAAAACCAAAGGUUGCAAUUAUUAGGUGUAUUAACCGUUCACGCCCCCAAUCAAGAAGAUGCUCAAUCCCAAAAUGCCAUAAAGCUUGGAUCCUAAAUUUGUGAACAUGCAUGAAUACUACAUGAAAGAAUCAAAGAUGAAUAUAAGAAUUAAAUAACUGGAUACAAUUGUGAUUGUAUUUGUUCUUGAUUUAUCUUUUUAUUGUCAUGUUACUGUUGGGUGUACUAUUUUAACAGGACAUUAAAAAAAAAAUCUCGGAGUGGGUGUCGGUGAAUUUUAAUCGUUUGCUUGCAAGAUGUUUGAUAAAAGUCCCAAAUGAGAGAAGUCGUUUUAAUGGCAAUAGAAUAUUUUGCUAGUCCUUACCCGUUAAGUCAGUCAAAAAUUUAGAGUACCAUUGCAUAUGUGAAGAGGUUUGGUCGUUUCUACGUUAAAACCUAGCCAAAGAAGAACAUAUAGCAAGCAUGCGAAGAGUAGAGAACAUAAUCUCAUGAUAUUUAUAUGCUAAAUUUUGUAUUACAUUGAGAAAGUUGGACUAAUUUGCCAUUUUAUUGACGACAAAAUACAACAAAGAAUCAAAGAAUUGACAAAAAGAAUAAAUUUUUUUGAUGUAUGUGUUGAUUUUGCAAAACUUCUAAGAGGUUCUGCAUUCUGCAGGGAGUCCCUGGGGAAAUCUCUUUGCAUCAGCGCAAUAAUUGUAAAUCAUGUAAUUCUUCUGCACCCAUUUCAGCCUUUCUUGACUUGUUGAAUCAAGCUCUUGUGAGAACCAGGCACUGCUGCUGGAUGGAGAGGAAGGUGAACUUGAAGCGCAAGAAGAUUUUCCAUUAGACCAGACACAGGCAUCAGCGUUGAAGUUUCUGUAGGAAGCCGUGAAGGGAGCAUGCGUCCAAUCUGUCUUGACAAGGCCACCUCUUGUAGCCCAGUCAUCAGCAUUCCAGAGAGAUGAGUAUAUUCUCAUUGGCUGAUUCUUUGGGAAUGCAACUCCAAUUGACUCUGAGUUCUUGAACUCUCUUAUGGGAGUACCAUCCACAGAGAAGCUGAAAAUUAAGUAAACAUUGAUAAGUCUAAGCAGAUUGAAUGACAAGGAAAGAAGAAAUGAUGGAGAUUGAAGGAAAAUAUUGCUUACACAAUGCGCUGAGGAUUCCAGAGGAUAGAAUAGGUGUGAAAGUCAGCAGUGGGGUCAAACCAGAGGUGAAAUUGUUGUUCUUUGUCACCUUUGCCAUUUGUGAAUACAUUGGUAUGCAGAGUGUAAGGGUCACCACUUAAAUUCCCCAAGAACUCGAAGUCUAUCUCAUCCCAUGUUGAUCCUGGCGAUUUUAACUGCGUGAACAAAAAG